rnacentral:rRNA from 1 species
CAGUCGCCGCGGGAAUACGUAGGUGGCAAGCGUUGUCCGGAAUUAUUGGGCGUAAAGCGAGCGCAGGCGGUCAAUUAAGUCUGAUGUGAAAGCCCCCGGCUCAACCGGGGAGGGUCAUUGGAAACUGGUUGACUUGAGUGCAGAAGAGGAGAGUGGAAUUCCAUGUGUAGCGGUGAAAUGCGUAGAUAUAUGGAGGAACACCAGUGGCGAAGGCGACUCUCUGGUCUGUAACUGACGCUGAGGCUCGAAAGCGUGGGUAGCAAACAGGAUUAGAUACCCCCGUAGUCCCUGUCUCUUAUAC